rnacentral:rRNA from 1 species
AGGAAAUAGGUGUAGUGAAUUGGUUGGAUUAUGGAGGACGAGAAGUUUAGUAGUUUAUAAGUGUGAGAACGGCGGUUUAAACUAAUAUGGGUUGAAGUACUGUAUAGGAACAAGUUAUAUAGGGGAGAUUGUAGGGGAAUAUUAGGUUAGUUUAUUACCUUUUGUAUUAGGGAUGAUCAAUGAAAAUAGAUUGUAGUUCUAGAUCUAGAUGAGUUGUGGGCUAAUAAGAUUGAUGUGGUUUGUUGAAUAAAAUUGGGUGAGGUCUUAUUAGGAGAUGAUAUGUAAUUCGAACUUCUUGAUAUCUGGUUCCUUAAGAAAGAUAUUUGACAGUAUGGUUAUGAUGGCAGUUUAUAGGGAUUAGCUUAUAAACAAUAUAUUGAGGUUAUUUUGUAGGAUUUGUUAGUAAGGUUGAUAGUGCUUAUUUUUAUGGUUUUAUAAUUGAAUAUGAUGAAGUGGGAUAUUUUAGUGAAGAUAUAGGGGUAUUAAGGUGAAAUUUUUUAUUGGAGAAGAUUAUGUAAUAAUGGUUAUAUUAGUAAUGAUUUGAGAUUAUGACUUUGUGGUAAUAUUGGAGUGUAAUGUUGUAGUAGAAUGGGGAAUUAAUAAAUUUAAAAUGAUGAAUUCGGCGAUUUCUUUUUGGCUGUUUAGCAAAGACAUUGUUUUUUGUAGGAAUAAAAAAUAAUAUCUGUCCACUGCUUAUAGUGAAGGGCUGCAGUAUAUUGACUGUGUGAAGGUAGCAUAAUCAUUAGUUUUUUAAUUGGGAGCUGGUAUGAAGAAGAAACAGGGAGGAGCUAUAUUAUUUUAAUUUGAUGAAUUUUAUUUUUGUGUGAAAAAUCAUAGUUGAGUAAAAGGGACAAGAAGACCCUGAUGAAUUUUAUUUUAGUUGUUUGUGGGCAUAUAGGGAGUUGAAGGAUAAUUAGUGCUAUCUAAUGAGUAGAAUUUGGCUGGGGCGGCUUUUAAAGUAAUGUAGAAACAUUAAAUAUAGUUUAAUUAUGGGGUUAAGCGUGUGAAGUGAAGAUUAGAUCUAAGUAAAUAGGUUAAUUAAAUGGAUAAUUACUGCAGGGAUAACAGCGUUAUUUUCCCUGAGAGUUCUAAUUGACGGGGGA